CCCGCUCAAGGGGUUAGGCGUUUCUGAUAUGUCAGAACGAGGGUAUAGGUUUGUCUGCAUUGGAGCCCGCUCAAGGGGUUAGGCGUUUCUGGUAUGUCAGAACGAGGGUAUAGGUUUGUCUGCAUUGGAACCCGCUCAAGGGGUUAGGCGUUUCUGGUAUGUCAGAACGAGGGUAUAGGUUUGUCUGCAUUGGAGCCCGCUCAAGGGG